rnacentral:tRNA from 1 species
UUUUUUGUAGCUUAAAAAAAGCGUAACAUUGAAGAUGUUAAUUUAGAAUUUCUCAAAAAAG